CAUAUUCAUAUUUGAUAUAAAAAUACUAAAAUAUUUUAAUAUUGUCUACUUUUCAAUGUUCUAUUGCACACAUCUGCUAAACCUAUUUAGUAAUAUUGUAAUCAGAACAAUUUGCUGGUAGCCUAAUUCAAUGAUACCAACCUAUAAAAAGAUGUAAAUUAUAGCCCAAACUGAACCACAGGUGAAUAUACACAAAUCAGCAAAAAAUAAAACUCUAGACAUUACAAUGUAGCUUGACAAUGAAAGAGAACCAACUCUACCUUGCAUUCUGGACAACCAUGACUUGACUGCAUUGAUUCCGAGAGCGAAAGUGAAGGAUACAACAGGCAAGUUGGGAAGACGGGAAGAAAAAAAGUUAGGAACAGAAAUAAGGAAGAAAAUAUGAGAAUAAUAACUGGAGGAGCUACACAUAUAAAUAACAUGAGGCAGAGUAUAGUCUUAGAGUUAAAAUGAAAAUAACAGGUCACAAAUGCCUUGACCACUGUACUCAUUAGUAGUAAUUUAAGGAAAGGUUUAGGAAUUGAAUAAGUGUAGUUCAUUAGCUCCCUUUGGGGCAAAUCCCAAAGAACAGGCAUGUUUUAUCUGACAAAAUACAUGGAGAUGGCUUUAGGUGGAAACUCACUCUUUAUUUCACUAUAGUUCCUCAUUUCCUGUUACCCCGUGAAUGGCUGAGAUAUUCAUGUUACCUGCCUGCCCUUUUGGGUUAUUCAAGUAUGUAAUAGUCUAAUUGAAACAUACCCUGUAAUAAAUAAAACAUAGGUACUCUCAUAUUGUAUAAAAGGCGAUAUUCUCUAGGAUAUUAUUAGAGAUGACAGAAAGUAAAAUACACUGCUUUAUUUUCAUUCAUUUGCAAAUGCUUAAUUAGGGAUAUACCCUUGGCAGUGAUUUCUUCUUGUCCCUUAAUAUUGUCAUUAAAUAACAUUGGAGUUCUAAUGACCCAGUCAAAGGCAGAAUGAAGUUAUCAGUUUGUUGUUGUUCUGCUCACAUUAAAAAAAGAUAGCCAAACUGCAGUUGUAACUACUAAAGAUUUAAAUGAACAUAAAAUAAAAACCCCCCUUUUCUGUGCUAUAUGGCUAAUUGGUGAUCCCUGUAAAUUAAAUUCAAUGAAUUAAAAUUAGAAUCACAAAACCAGCAAUUCUAAAUUUCUAAAUAAAAUUAUUAGGAUAAAAUUAAAGGCUGUAUACUUAGUUUGAUAAAACACCUGGAAAUUUUCAAAUUAUUUUCUGAGUAUUACUUGAUUUCUUGACAAAACUAUUGGCUCUGCUUGCUUCCUUGGCCCUGUCAUUAUCAACAAGAAAGAUUAAUCUCAAAAGAAAUGGUGAUCUGAUGGUGGUGAUAUAGUCAACAAACAGCAGAUUCAAAGACACUGAAGAGGAAAGAAGAGGCCCUGCCUCCUAGAUUUAAUGGCUGUUGCAUAAUUAUCACUGAAAAGGAAAAGAUUAACAAUUUAAAUAAAUAUUUGAGAAGCCUACUUA